rnacentral:rRNA from 1 species
AGCGAUAAGGGAACCUCGAGUGCCAGGUUACAAAUCUGGCUGUCGAGAUGCCUAAAAAGCAUUUCAUAGCAAGGGCCGGGCAAGACCGGUGCCAGCCGCCGCGGUAACACCGGCGGCUCGAGUGGUAACCGUUAUUAUUGGGUCUAGAGGGUCUGUAGCCGGCCGGAUAAGUCUCUUGAGAAAUCUGGCAGCUUAACUGUCAGGCUUUCAGGAGAUACUGUCUGGCUCGAGGCCGGGAGAGGUGAGAGGUACUUCAGGGGUAGGGGUGAAAUCUUGUAAUCCUUGAAGGACCACCAGUGGCGAAGGCGUCUCACCAGAACGGACCUGACGGCAAGGGACGAAAGCUAGGGGCACGAACCGGAUUAGAUACCCGGGUAGUCCUAGCCGUAAACGAUACUCGCUAGGUGUCGGCCACGGUGCGACCGUUGUCGGUGCCGUAGGAAGCCGUGAAGCGAGCCACCUGGGAAGUACGGCCGCAAGGCUGAAACUUAAAGGAAUUGGCGGGGGAGC